rnacentral:rRNA from 1 species
UAAUACGUAGGGGGCAAGCGUUAUCCGGAUUUAUUGGGUGUAAAGGGUGCGUAGGCGGGAAAGCAAGUUGAAUGUGAAAUACCGGGGCUCAACUCCGGGGCUGCGUUCAAAACUGUUUUUCUUGAGUACAGCAGAGGCAAGCGGAAUUCCCAGUGUAGCGGUAAUAUGCGUAGAUAUUGGGAGGAACACCGGUGGCGAAGGCGGCUUGCUGGGCUGCAACUGACGCUGAAGCACGAAAGUGUGGGGAGCAAACAGG